GCGUAUGCCCGAAGGUGACUUGCAGGUGGCAAUCGAAUGAACCGUAUCGGUUCUGCUCGAUGGGGUUCAACUCCCCGUUUACGCGGGUUCGACUCCCGCCGUAUGCG
rnacentral:tRNA from 1 species